ACGAACGCUGGCGGCGUGCCUAAUACAUGCAAGUCGAACGCUUCUUUUUCCACCGGAGCUUGCUCCACCGGAAAAAGAGGAGUGGCGAACGGGUGAGUAACACGUGGGUAACCUGCCCAUCAGAAGGGGAUAACACUUGGAAACAGGUGCUAAUACCGUAUAACAAUCGAAACCGCAUGGUUUUGAUUUGAAAGGCGCUUUCGGGUGUCGCUGAUGGAUGGACCCGCGGUGCAUUAGCUAGUUGGUGAGGUAACGGCUCACCAAGGCGACGAUGCAUAGCCGACCUGAGAGGGUGAUCGGCCACAUUGGGACUGAGACACGGCCCAAACUCCUACGGGAGGCAGCAGUAGGGAAUCUUCGGCAAUGGACGAAAGUCUGACCGAGCAACGCCGCGUGAGUGAAGAAGGUUUUCGGAUCGUAAAACUCUGUUGUUAGAGAAGAACAAGGAUGAGAGUAACUGUUCAUCCCUUGACGGUAUCUAACCAGAAAGCCACGGCUAACUACGUGCCAGCAGCCGCGGUAAUACGUAGGUGGCAAGCGUUGUCCGGAUUUAUUGGGCGUAAAGCGAGCGCAGGCGGUUUCUUAAGUCUGAUGUGAAAGCCCCCGGCUCAACCGGGGAGGGUCAUUGGAAACUGGGAGACUUGAGUGCAGAAGAGGAGAGUGGAAUUCCAUGUGUAGCGGUGAAAUGCGUAGAUAUAUGGAGGAACACCAGUGGCGAAGGCGGCUCUCUGGUCUGUAACUGACGCUGAGGCUCGAAAGCGUGGGGAGCAAACAGGAUUAGAUACCCUGGUAGUCCACGCCGUAAACGAUGAGUGCUAAGUGUUGGAGGGUUUCCGCCCUUCAGUGCUGCAGCUAACGCAUUAAGCACUCCGCCUGGGGAGUACGACCGCAAGGUUGAAACUCAAAGGAAUUGACGGGGGCCCGCACAAGCAGUGGAGUAUGUGGUUUAAUUCGACGCAACGCGAAGAACCUUACCAGGUCUUGACAUCCGAUGCAUAGCGCAGAGAUGCGUGAAGUCCUUCGGGACAUCGAGACAGGUGGUGCAUGGUUGUCGUCAGCUCGUGUCGUGAGAUGUUGGGUUAAGUCCCGCAACGAGCGCAACCCUUAUUGUUAGUUGCCAUCAUUUAGUUGGGCACUCUAGCAAGACUGCCGGUGACAAACCGGAGGAAGGUGGGGAUGACGUCAAAUCAUCAUGCCCCUUAUGACCUGGGCUACACACGUGCUACAAUGGGAAGUACAACGAGUCGCAAAGUCGCGAGGCUAAGCUAAUCUCUUAAAGCUUCUCUCAGUUCGGAUUGUAGGCUGCAACUCGCCUACAUGAAGCCGGAAUCGCUAGUAAUCGCGGAUCAGCACGCCGCGGUGAAUACGUUCCCGGGCCUUGUACACACCGCCCGUCACACCACGAGAGUUUGUAACACCCGAAGUCGGUGAGGUAACCUUUUGGAGCCAGCCGCCUAAGGUGGGAUAGAUGAUUGGGGUG
rnacentral:rRNA from 1 species